GUUCCUUUCCUUUGUUUUUGAAACAAUCUUUUGAUUUCCUAGGCUUUCCUUUCAUGACAUUUAGGAGAAAAGGAAACUGCUGUUGAAUACGGGAUGCCUGGGAUUUCUGUUUUAUAUUAGACUUUUUAAAUAUUUGAACUCUGCUUCAGGACGGAACAAAUUAGAGUUGAAACUGCAGGGUGGGACUCGUUCUUGAGCUUCCACCACUUCCAGAAAUCCAGGGAACCUUUGGGAGGAUAAGUGCCAGCACUAAGAAAAUGGAGGGGAAAUAUAGAGGGACAUCGGAGAGGGAAGGGAGAAAGCACCUGGAAAGGACCACAGCAGAAUGUGGACUUCAUCCCACAGUCUUACACUGAAGGAAAAAGAGCUACAAAGAAUAAUGAUCCAUGAAUUCUAGAGAGGGACACAGUGCUUAAAAUUAAAUCUGGUGUUGUCGAGGUUUCUGGCAGGAGAAGUUUUGCUUUACUGCUUCUACGCAGCAAGCCACAUAGAUGAAUGAAACUGUUAUUACCUGUGAAAAAAUGUGGGGAGAAAGAUUCUCAGCCAUGAACAGUGCAAUUAAAACCUGCGUUCAUUGGGUUUUAAAAUAGUCAAUUUGCUUUAAAAAC
rnacentral:lncRNA from 1 species